AUAUUUUGUAAACUUAAAAUCUUUAAUACUGAAUACCUCAUCUUUUGUAAUUACACAGGUAAUGGGUGUGACGCUUCCUUCCAUGUUUGGAAUGUGACUUUCAUUCACAUUACACUAACCCCACAUUUUAUUAAGCCGAGGUCCAC